GGGAGAAAGGGUGGGCGGCGUGCCUAACACAUGCAGUCGAAACGAUGAUUGGAGAGCUUGCUCUUCCUGAUUAGUGGCGCACGGGUGAGUAUACCAUAGAUAAUGUACCCCUUAGUUUGGGAUAGCCACUGGAAACGGUGAUUAAUACCAGAUACUCCUUCUUGUCCUAAGGCAAGUCGGGAAAGUUUUUUCGCUAAGGGAUCAGUCUAUGUCCUAUCAGCUAGUUGGUGAGGUAAUGGCUCACCAAGGCUAUGACGGGUAUCUGGUUUGAGAGGAUGAUCAGACACACUGGAACUGAGACACGGUCCAGACUCCUACGGGAGGCAGCAGUGAGGAAUAUUGCACAAUGGAGGAAACUCUGAUGCAGCAACGCCGCGUGGAGGAUGACGCAUUUCGGUGUGUAAACUCCUUUUAAGAGGGAAGAUUAUGACGGUACCUCUUGAAUAAGCACCGGCUAACUCCGUGCCAGCAGCCGCGGUAAUAAGAGGGGUGAAGCGUUACUCGGAAUCACUGGUCGUAAAGGGUGCGUAGCUGACUUUUAGUCAGGCGUGAAUCCAAUGGCUUACCCAUUGACUGCCUU
rnacentral:rRNA from 1 species